AGACGGGUGAGGAACACGUACGCAACCUCCCUUUAACUGGGGCACAACCUUGAGAAAUCAGGGCUAAUUCCCCAUAACAUUGCGAAAGGGCAUCCAAUUGCAAUUAAAGAUUCGUCGGUUAGAGAUGGGCGUGCGUUCGAUUAGCUAGUUGGUAAGGUAACGGCUUACCAAGGCAACGAUCGAUAGCUGGUGUGAGAGCACGACCAGCCACACGGGCACUGAGAUACGGGCCCGACUCCUACGGGAGGCAGCAGUAAGGAAUAUUGGUCAAUGGGCGAAAGCCUGAACCAGCCAUGCCGCGUGAAGGAUGAAGGUCCUCUGGAUUGUAAACUUCUUUUAUCUAUGAAUAAACGCCUGAUUUCUAUCGGGUUUGAAGGUAAUAGAUGAAUAAGCACCGGCUAACUCCGUGCCAGCAGCCGCGGUAAUACGGAGGGUGCAAGCGUUAUCCGGAUUCACUGGGUUUAAAGGGUGCGUAGGUUGAUAGGUAAGUCAGUGGUGAAAUACUCCGACUCAAUCGGAGAACUGCCGUUGAUACUAUUUAUCUUGAAUACGGUGGAGGCGGGCGGAAUGCGUCAUGUAGUGGUGAAAUACUUAGAUAUGACGCAGAACACCCAUUGCGAAGGCAGCUCGCUACACCGGCAUUGACACUGAGGCACGAAAGCGUGG
rnacentral:rRNA from 1 species